rnacentral:rRNA from 1 species
UACGAAGGGGGCUAGCGUUGUUCGGAAUUACUGGGCGUAAAGCGUAUGCAGGCGGAUCGUUAAGUCGGGGGUGAAAUCCCGAGGCUCAACCUCGGAACUGCCUUCGAUACUGGCGAUCUUGAGUCCGGGAGAGGUGAGUGGAACUCCGAGUGUAGAGGUGAAAUUCGUAGAUAUUCGGAAGAAACACCAGUGGCGAAGGCGGCUCACUGGCCCGGUACUGACGCUGAAGCACGAAAGCGUGGGGAGCAAACAGG